UCCAAGUGCCAUUCCAGUAGCUCCUCUUGCAAACAUAGUAGUGUCCGUCAAAGAACAACACAAAGAGCCACAAUAACACAACGAGCACCACUGAUAGCAAUACGCCAAACAAACGCAAAAUAUUACUGCAGUCACAGCAUUUCUCCAGCUUCUUGUACUGAUCCAUUUUGAUGAACACUGUGGCAAAGAGGAUGAUCAAACUUGAACAACUCAAAAGCACAUUUGAGACAAAAUUGUUGGAUGAGUUACACGGACAAAUAAACUCAGUCUCCAUCAGUUUUUCUACUACUAUUAGGAACAGGCUUAAGGCGAUAUCCGCUUGUACGAUGGGCUUCACAACCUCCACAAUUUUGGCUACUAUUUGUUUGGAUGCUGGUCCUGUGGAUCCUUUUUUUCCGGAUGCUGAAGCCAUGAUUCUGUAUGCUGCGUGACGAAGAGGGAAUCACUGAUUCUUGUGUUCAGGCCC
ensembl:lncRNA